GCGGGCUUAACNCAUGCAAGUCGAGCGGUAGAGAGAAGCUUGCUUCUCUUGAGAGCGGCGGACGGGUGAGUAAUGCCUAGGAAUCUGCCUAGUGGUGGGGGAUAACGUUCGGAAACGGACGCUAAUACCGCAUACGUCCUACGGGAGAAAGCGGGGGAUCUUCGGACCUCGCGCCAUUAGAUGAGCCUAGGUCGGAUUAGCUAGUUGGUGAGGUAAUGGCUCACCAAGGCGACGAUCCGUAACUGGUCUGAGAGGAUGAUCAGUCACACUGGAACUGAGACACGGUCCAGACUCCUACGGGAGGCAGCAGUGGGGAAUAUUGGACAAUGGGCGAAAGCCUGAUCCAGCCAUGCCGCGUGUGUGAAGAAGGUCUUCGGAUUGUAAAGCACUUUAAGUUGGGAGGAAGGGCAGUAACCUAAUACGUUAUUGUUUUGACGUUACCGACAGAAUAAGCACCGGCUAACUUCGUGCCAGCAGCCGCGGUAAUACGAAGGGUGCAAGCGUUAAUCGGAAUUACUGGGCGUAAAGCGCGCGUAGGUGGUUCAGUAAGUUGGAAGUGAAAUCCCCGGGCUCAACCUGGGAACUGCUUUCAAAACUGCUGAGCUAGAGUACGGUAGAGGGUGGUGGAAUUUCCUGUGUAGCGGUGAAAUGCGUAGAUAUAGGAAGGAACACCAGUGGCGAAGGCGACCACCUGGACUGAUACUGACACUGAGGUGCGAAAGCGUGGGGAGCAAACAGGAUUAGAUACCCUGGUAGUCCACGCCGUAAACGAUGUCAACUAGCCGUUGGGAGUCUUGAACUCUUAGUGGCGCAGCUAACGCAUUAAGUUGACCGCCUGGGGAGUACGGCCGCAAGGUUAAAACUCAAAUGAAUUGACGGGGGCCCGCACAAGCGGUGGAGCAUGGUGUUUAAUUCGAAGCAACGCGGAGAAUCCUUACCU
rnacentral:rRNA from 1 species